GCGCUUACUUCAGCAGCACAUAUACUAAAAUUAGAAUGAUACAGAGAAGAUUGUAUAAUGCCCCUUGAGCAACGAUGAUACACAAAUUCCCAAACAUUCCAUAGUUUU